rnacentral:rRNA from 1 species
UUUUUGUGCAUGGAAUUGUGGUCUGUAGACACUUGCAUUAUUAUGGACUGGACCAAGUCCCUUGGAACAGGGCAGCAGAGAGGGUGAGACUCCUGUAWGUCUAGUCUAUUGAGYWUGUGUCAAUGAGUCGAGUUGUUUGGGAUUGCAGCUCAAAGCUGGUGGUAAAUUCCAUCGAAAGCUCAAUAUGGGUGGCAGACCGAUAGCGUACAAGUACCGUGAGGGAAAGAUGCAAAGCCGCGCGAAAGCGYUGUUAAAGAGUACCUGAAAUUGCUGAAAAGGAAGYGAAGGAAACCAGUGCCAGCAUGGUCAUACUUCCCUGUUUGCUUGCAGAUAGGGCGCUGUGUCCAGCCUUGUCAACUGUGCUUUGUAGUAACAGGAUAUACACAAGGAGAGUUGAUUCUUGUUUUGUACUGUUGCUGUGAUG